CCUACGGGUGGCAGCAGUGGGGAAUAUUGGGCAAUGGGCGCAAGCCUGACCCAGCAACGCCGCGUGAAGGAAGAAGGCUUUCGGGUUGUAAACUUCUUUUGACAGGGAAGAGCAGAAGACGGGACCUGUCGAAUAAGCCACGGCUAACUACGGGCCAGCAGCCGCGGUACUACGGAGGUGGCAAGCGUUGGCCGGAUUUACUGGGUGUAAAGGGCGUGUAGCCGGGCUGACAAGUCAGAUGUGACAUCCGGGGGCUCCACCCCCGAACUGCAUUUGAAACUGUUGGUCUUGAGUAUCGGAGAGGCAGUCGGCAUUCCUAGUGUAGCGGUGAAAUGCGUAGAUAUUAGGAGGAACACCAGUGGCGCAGGCGGCCUGCUGGACGACAACUGACGGUGAGGCGCGACCGCGUGGGGAGCAAACAGGAUUAGAUACCCGAGUAGUC
rnacentral:rRNA from 1 species